GCGGCGCCGCGGGGCCUUAGCGGACGGAGGGGAGCGCGGGGGUCACCGGGCCGGGCCGGCAGCCCUAGAGCUCGGCCUGGCGGGGACCCUGGGCCAGCCCCGCGCCUCCGUGGCCCGGGCGUCUCGUGCGUGUCCGCGAACUCGCGUGCGCGCGUCACCUCGGACCGCAGCAUGGCUCGGAGGGCGGCCCUACUCGCGCCGCCCUAGUGCUGCGAAGGGCCUCGGAGCCCAAACCCGGAACCGCCAUCUGGGACUGGGAAGACGACAUGGCCAGAAGCCGACUGGACAGCCGGCACCACCCCAUGAUUCAAGGAUGGCCAUAGCCCAGUGCAGGAGCAGAUUUGCUUCCAGUUUGCCCUUCCUCCUAGCUGAACUCCAGGCUCCAGCCCAGAGAAGCAAGAAAAGAGCAAACAGAAGUUAUUCACAUGUGCAUCAGGUGGAGUCUCGCUCUGUCACCCAGGCUGGAGUGCAAUGGCACGGUCUCAGCUCACUGCAACCUCUGCCUCCCAGAUUCAAGCAAUUCUGCCUCAACCUCCUGAGUAGCUGGGACUACAGGCACGUGUCACCACGCCCAGCUAUUUUUUUUUUUUUUUUUUUUUUUUUGAGACAGAGUCUCCCUCUGUCGCCCAGGCUGGAGUGCAAUGGCGCAAUCUCAGCUCACUGCAAGCUCCGCCUCCCCGGUUCCCGCCAUUCUCUUGCCUCAGCCUCCCGAGUAGCUGGCACUACAGGCGCCUGCCACCCAUGACCGGGUAAUUUUUUUUGUAUUUUUUAGUAGAGACGGGGUUUCACUGUGUUAGCCAGGAUGGUCUCGAUCUCCUGACCUCAUGAUCCGCCCGCCUCGGCCUCCCAAAGUGCUGGGAUUACAGGCGUGAGCCACCAUGCCCGGCCUUAAUAACUUUUUAAAGGAUGUCAAGUUAAUGGAAUGUAUUCUGCUUUAGAAAAUAAAACUCUUAGGUUUUCAAAACUUAGCAGCCCCAGCAUUACCAAGGGCCUGCCUACCGUUUACAGUAUGUGAAUCCUACUUCCUUUUCAUGGUUGUAAGACUGGGAUUUUCUGGGAGCCGACCUGCAGGAGUCCACAGGCCACCCGUUAGGACUGUGCACGCUCCUCCACAAACAUGCCUGUGGGGGGAUCCUUGGCUCUCUCUGCAGGGGUGCGUUGGGUGUGCACCAGCUGGGAAGGAAGGAUCUGUCGGAACUGCAAUCAAAGCCACGGCAGGCCUCCCAGGGUCUUACUGGUGGUGAAAACAACCAGCUUCCUCGUCCCUCCCUCAAGCAUGGCAACCACCGCCCUGAGACUCAAAGAUACCUGGAGGAGUGUGAUCGGGCUGACCUGUUGCUCUUAUCUGGAAUUCUUUGAGGGUGAUGGGAGAUCACUUCUUUUUUUUUUUUUUUUUUUUUUUUGAGACAGGAUCUUGUUUUGUCAACCAGGCUGGAGUGCAGGUUCAGGUGAUUCUUCCGCCUCAGCCUCCCCAAGUAGGCUGAGUAGCUGAGAAAACAGAUGCGCACCACCAUGCCUGGUUAAUUUUUGGAUGUUUUGCAGCCAUGUGGUUUCACCAUGUUGUCCAGUCUGGUCUUGAACUCCUGAGCUCAAGGGAUCCUCCCACCUCGGCCUCCCAAAGCAUUGAGAUUACAGGUAUGAGCCACUGUACCCGGCUACCCAGGAGAUUACUAUUUUUUGGCAUAAAACCAAACAAAACUAUUCAUUAGUUUAUCCACUCAACAUUGAUUUAUUAUUCCUGACUGCAGCCAACAACAUUGUGAAUACUUUCCCUGCCUCAAGCUCUGUUCUAGGUCCUAGAACAUUCAUGACAAUUUGUUUCUCUGCCCUCUGGCAGGUGAGAAAACUUUGUAAGAAGUUUCAAUAGCAAAAAGUAUGAGAAGAUGUACAAUAGAUCUGGGACUAUUUGUAACAAACCCGGUGGAAGAUGUAGGAGCAGAGGUGGAAGGCCUUAAAGAGGGUCCUGCGCAUGCCGGGCGGGCCUCCAACAGAGAAAACACACAACCUGGCCAGGCACAGUGGCUCACGCCUGUAAUCCCAGCACUUUGGGAGGCCAGUGCGGGUGGAUCACCUGAGGUCAGGAGUUCGAGAUCAGCCUGGCCAAUGUAGUGAAACCCCAGUCUCUACCAAAAAUACAAAAAUUAGCCGGGCUUGGCACAGGCUUGCAAUCCCAGCUGAGGCAGGAGAAUCGCUUGAACCUGGGAGGUGGAGGUUGCAAUGAGCCAAGAUCAUGCUUUUGCACUCCAGCCUGGACGACAGAGUGAGACUCUGUCUCAAAACAAAAUAAAUAAAAUAGACACGCAAUCCAUACCACAGCCACCAGGGUGAUUGUCCAGGUUGUAUUUCUGCUGACAUCGACCCUUCAUGCCUUCCUCUUGUUGACCCUUCCAGCUACACCUAGCUCGGUCCUCUUCGGAGCCACGCCAACACCCAGGUUCCUCUGCAGUGCAUCCCCAUGGGGAUUUACCCGGUGAUUGAUUUUAUUUCUUUAUUUAUUUUUAUUAUUAUUAUUAUUUUUGAGACAGAGUUUCACUCUUGUUUCCCAGGCUGGAGUGCAGUGGCGCAAUCCCAGCUCACUGCAACCUCUGCCUCCCGGGUUCAAGCGAUUAUCCAGUCUCAG
rnacentral:lncRNA from 1 species